CCCACCGAGGCGCGAACACCGCUACCACACCUUCCCCCAUCCCAGGUGGUGGUCACAGGAUGAAGAUUUUGAGGUAGGGAAGAGUCCUGCAAUCAUCCCAGGCCAGUAUUGAGAGAUUCACCAACAGAAGCAGAGGCAGAAGAGCCAGGAGAGAGGAGGGAAGAAAGAACACCAGAGAAGCCCAGA